GACGAACGCUGGCGGCGUGCCUAAUACAUGCAAGUUGAGCGAUGAAGAUUGGUGCUUGCACCAAUUUGAAGAGCAGCGAACGGGUGAGUAACGCGUGGGGAAUCUGCCUUUGAGCGGGGGCAACAUUUGGAAACGAAUGCUAAUACCGCAUAACAACUUUAAACAUAAGUUUUAAGUUUGAAAGAUGCAAUUGCAUCACUCAAAGAUGAUCCCGCGUUGUAUUAGCUAGUUGGUGAGGUAAAGGCUCACCAAGGCGAUGAUACAUAGCCGACCUGAGAGGGUGAUCGGCCACAUUGGGACUGAGACACGGCCCAAACUCCUACGGGAGGCAGCAGUAGGGAAUCUUCGGCAAUGGACGAAAGUCUGACCGAGCAACGCCGCGUGAGUGAAGAAGGUUUUCGGAUCGUAAAACUCUGUUGGUAGAGAAGAACGUUGGUGAGAGUGGAAAGCUCAUCAAGUGACGGUAACUACCCAGAAAGGGACGGCUAACUACGUG
rnacentral:rRNA from 1 species